rfam:Solanum tuberosum cultivar DM 1-3 516 R44 scf00155_48, whole genome shotgun sequence.
UCCUUUGCGGAUAUUGAUAAAAUCAGAACGAUACAAAGAAGAUAAACAUGAUCAAUGUGUAAGGAUCACACGAACAAACUGAGAAAUAGUCCACACAAAA